GUUGUAUAGUCAAGUAAUUAAGUGCAUGUGGUGGAUGCCUUGGCAGUCAGAGGCGAUGAAAGACGUGAUAGCCUGCGAAAAGCUCCGGGGAGGCGGCAAAUAUCCUUUGAUCCGGAGAUGUCUGAAUGGGGGAACCCACCUACUUUAAGGUAGGUAUUGCAACAUGAAUACAUAGUGUUGCAAGGCGAACGAGGGGAAGUGAAACAUCUCAGUACCCUUAGGAAAAGAAAUCAAUUGAGAUUCCCUCAGUAGCGGCGAGCGAACGGGGAUCAGCCCAUUAAGUUAUGUGUGUUUUAGUGGAACGCUCUGGGAAGUGCGAACGUAGAGGGUGAUAUUCCCGUACACGAAAGGGCACACAUAAUGAUGACGAGUAGGGCGAGGCACGUGAAACCUUGUCUGAAUAUGGGGGGACCAUCCUCCAAGGCUAAAUACUCCUGACUGACCGAUAGUGAACCAGUACCGUGAGGGAAAGGCGAAAAGAACCCCUGUGAGGGGAGUGAAAUAGAUCCUGAAACCGCAUGCAUACAAGCAGUGGGAGCACCUUCGUGGUGUGACUGCGUACCUUUUGUAUAAUGGGUCAGCGACUUAUAUUCAGUAGCGAGGUUAACCGUAUAGGGGAGCCGUAGAGAAAUCGAGUCUUAAUAGGGCGUUUAGUUGCUGGGUAUAGACCCGAAACCAGGCGAUCUAUCCAUGAGCAGGUUGAAGGUUGGGUAACACUAACUGGAGGACCGAACCCACUGUCGUUGAAAAGCCAGGGGAUGACUUGUGGAUAGGGGUGAAAGGCUAAUCAAGCCUGGUGAUAGCUGGUUCUCCCCGAAAGCUAUUUAGGUAGCGCCUCGGACGAAUACCAUAGGGGGUAGAGCACUGUUUCGGCUAGGGGGUCAUCCCGACUUACCAAACCGAUGCAAACUCCGAAUACCUAUGAGUACUAUCCGGGAGACAGACUGCGGGUGCUAACGUCCGUAGUCAAGAGGAAAACAAUCCAGACCGCCAGCUAAGGCCCCAAAAUCAUAGUUAAGUGGGAAACGAUGUGGGAAGGCAUAGACAGCUAGGAGGUUGGCUUAGAAGCAGCCACCCUUUAAAGAAAGCGUAAUAGCUCACUAGUCGAGUCGGCCUGCGCGGAAGAUGUAACGGGGCUAAAACUAUGUGCCGAAGCUGCGGAUGUAUACUUUGUAUACGUGGUAGGGGAGCGUUCUGUAAGCCGAUGAAGGUGUGUUGAGAAGCAUGCUGGAGGUAUCAGAAGUGCGAAUGCUGACGUGAGUAACGACAAAACGGGUGAAAAACCCGUUCGCCGAAAGACCAAGGGUUCCAGUCCAACGUUAAUCGGGGCUGGGUGAGUCGACCCCUAAGGCGAGGCCGAAAGGCGUAGUCGAUGGGAAAAUGGUUAAUAUUCCAUUACUUCUGUGUAAUGCGAUGAGAGGACGGAGAAGGCUAAAUCAGCCUGGCGUUGGUUGUCCAGGUGAAAGGAUGUAGGCAUGUAUCUUAGGCAAAUCCGGGGUACUCUAUGCUGAGAUCUGAUAGCAAGCUGUACUUGUACAGCGAAGUGGUUGAUGCCAUGCUUCCAGGAAAAGUCUCUAAGCUUCAGUUACACAGGAAUCGUACCCGAAACCGACACAGGUGGUCAGGUCGAGUAGACCAAGGCGCUUGAGAGAACUCUGCUGAAGGAACUAGGCAAAAUGGUACCGUAACUUCGGGAGAAGGUACGCUGUUGUUGGUGAUGGAACUCGCUUCCUGAGCUGACGACAGCCGCAGAAACCAGGCCGCUGCAACUGUUUAUUAAAAACAUAGCACUCUGCAAACACGAAAGUGGACGUAUAGGGUGUGAUGCCUGCCCGGUGCUGGAAGGUUAAUUGAUGGGGUUAGCGUAAGCGAAGCUCUUGAUCGAAGCCCCAGUAAACGGCGGCCGUAACUAUAACGGUCCUAAGGUAGCGAAAUUCCUUGUCGGGUAAGUUCCGACCUGCACGAAUGGCAUAAUGAUGGCGGCGCUGUCUCCAGCAGAGGCUCAGUGAAAUCGAAAUCGCUGUGAAGAUGCAGUGUACCCGCGGCUAGACGGAAAGACCCCGUGAACCUUUACUGCAGCUUGACACUGAACUUUGACCUUACUUGUGUAGGAUAGGUGGGAGGCUUUGAAGCUGGAACGCUAGUUCCAGUGGAGCCGUCCUUGAAAUACCACCCUGGUAAUGUUGAGGUUCUAACUCUGUCCCGUGAUCCGGGACGAGGACCGUGUCUGGUGGGUAGUUUGACUGGGGCGGUCUCCUCCUAAAGAGUAACGGAGGAGUACGAAGGUGCGCUCAGCGUGGUCGGAAAUCACGCGUAGAGUAUAAAGGCAAAAGCGCGCUUAACUGCGAGACCCACAAGUCGAGCAGGUACGAAAGUAGGUCUUAGUGAUCCGGUGGUUCUGUAUGGAAGGGCCAUCGCUCAACGGAUAAAAGGUACUCUGGGGAUAACAGGCUGAUACCGCCCAAGAGUUCAUAUCGACGGCGGUGUUUGGCACCUCGAUGUCGGCUCAUCUCAUCCUGGGGCUGAAGCAGGUCCCAAGGGUAUGGCUGUUCGCCAUUUAAAGAGGUACGCGAGCUGGGUUUAGAACGUCGUGAGACAGUUCGGUCCCUAUCUACCGUGGGCGCUGGAAAUUUGAGAGGAUCUGCUCCUAGUACGAGAGGACCAGAGUGGACGAACCUCUGGUGUACCGGUUGUGACGCCAGUCGCAUCGCCGGGUAGCUAUGUUCGGAAGGGAUAACCGCUGAAAGCAUCUAAGCGGGAAGCCUACCUCAAGAUAAGAUUUCCCUAGGACUUUAUGUCCUCUAAAGAGCCGUUCGAGACUAGGACGUUGAUAGGUUGGAUGUGGAAGCAUAGUGAUAUGUGAAGCUGACCAAUACUAAUUGCUCGUGAGGCUUGACUAUAC
rnacentral:rRNA from 1 species